UAAUAAGUGUUUUACUGCACUUUUUAAAAACAGUAUUCACCUUGUGUGCAACGUUUGUAUCAAAAAGUCAUUUUUGAUGCCUACAACAACCUAUUAUUUUUAAUCUCUUUUGUCUGAAAACCAUUUACGAAUAACUUAAUUCGAAAUA
rnacentral:misc_RNA from 1 species